rnacentral:rRNA from 1 species
GACGAACGCUGGCGGCGUGCUUAACACAUGCAAGUCGAACGGAAAGGCCCUGCUUUUGUGGGGUGCUCGAGUGGCGAACGGGUGAGUAACACGUGAGUAACCUGCCCUUGACUUUCGGAUAACUUCAGGAAACUGGGGCUAAUACAGGAUAGGAUCUCCUGCUGCAUGGUGGGGGUUGGAAAGUUUCGGCGGUUGUGGAUGGACUCGCGGCUUAUCAGCUUGUUGGUCGGGUAGUGGCUUACCCAGGCUUUGACGGGUAGGCGGCCUGAGAGAGGGACCGGCGACAAGGCGACUGAGAGACGGCGCAGACUGCUAUGGGAGGCAGCAGGCGGGAGUAUGGCACAACGGGCCCAAGCCUGAGGCAGAAACGUUCGGUGCGUGAUGACGGGUUUUGGGGGGUAAACAGCUGUCGCCUGUGACGAAGCGUGAGUGACGGUAAUGGGUAAAGAAGCACCGGCUAACUACGUG